rnacentral:rRNA from 1 species
AUUGAACGCUGGCGGCAUGCCUUACACAUGCAAGUCGAACGGCAGCACGGGUGCUUGCACCUGGUGGCGAGUGGCGAACGGGUGAGUAAUACAUCGGAACGUACCUUAUCGUGGGGGAUAACGCAGCGAAAGCUGUGCUAAUACCGCAUACGCCCUGAGGGGGAAAGCGGGGGAUCGCAAGACCUCGCGCGAUUAGAGCGGCCGAUGCCUGAUUAGCUAGUUGGUGGGGUAAAAGCCCACCAAGGCGACGAUCAGUAGCUGGUCUGAGAGGACGAUCAGCCACACUGGGACUGAGACACGGCCCAGACUCCUACGGGAGGCAGCAGUGGGGAAUUUUGGACAAUGGGGGCAACCCUGAUCCAGCAAUGCCGCGCGAGUGAAGAAGGCCUUCGGGUUGUAAAGCUCUAUUGUCAGGGAAGAAACACCGGCUCUAACACAGUCCGGGAAUGACGGUACCUGAAGAAUAAGCACCGGCUAACUACGUGCCAGCAGCCGCCGUAA